rnacentral:rRNA from 1 species
UACGUAGGGUGCGAGCGUUAAUCGGAAUUACUGGGCGUAAAGGGUGCGCAGGCGGUUAUAUAAGACAGAUGUGAAAUCCCCGGGCUCAACCUGGGAACUGCGUUUGUGACUGUAUGACUAGAGUACGGUAGAGAGGGGUGGAAUUCCUGGUGUAGCAGUGAAAUGCGUAGAUAUCAGGAGGAACAUCGAUGGCGAAGGCAGCCCCUUGGACCUGUACUGACGCUCAUGCACGAAAGCGUGGGGAGC